AUCUCUGCCGGGAUCCUCGCCUCCCCGCGCUCGCCGCGGCUUCCCGGGAACCCGCCCGGGGCUAGAGCGCCCGCGGUGAGGCUCCAGCACCCCGCGCGCGCGAGCAGAGGCGGUGGCCGGGCUAGUGCGGGAGUUUGCGAGCGAGGGAGCGGGUGCCGGUAACUGAACGGAUGCAAGGCGAUGUGCAUGAGCGCAGACCUGUGGGGGCCGGCGGCGGGUGUAUCCCUGGCUCAAAGGAAAAGGCCCGCGCGUAGACUCAGGGCACGAGGUGGGGGGGCCUUACCUGGGAUGAAGACUCGCGGGGCAGAACUCCGCCUGGUGGAGCAACGGACGUUUCUCAGGCUGCCUGCGAAGUGGCUGUGCAGAGAUCCCAGGCGGCAGCGGCGCUCUUGUACCUGUCCCUCUCACUCCAGAGUGGAAGGUGCUGGUGAGGGUGUUAGACCCCACUCGG
rnacentral:lncRNA from 1 species